rnacentral:rRNA from 1 species
UACGUAGGGGGCAAGCGUUGUCCGGAUUUACUGGGCGUAAAGAACGUGUAGGCGGCCACGCAGGUCCGUUGUGAAAACUGGAGGCUCAACCUCCAGCUGUCGACGGAAACCGUGUGGCUAGAGUCCGGAAGAGGAGAGUGGAAUUCCUGGUGUAGCGGUGAAAUGCGCAGAUAUCAGGAAGAACACCAAUGGCGAAGGCAGCUCUCUGGGACGGUACUGACGCUGAGACGCGAAAGCGUGGGGAGCAAACAGG